rnacentral:rRNA from 1 species
GACGAACGCUGGCGGCGUGCUUAACACAUGCAAGUCGAACGGUAAGGCCCUUCGGGGUACACGAGAGGCGAACGGGUGAGUCACACGUGGGCGAUCUGCCCUGCACUUCGGGAUACGGAUGGGAAACUGGGUCUAACAUCGGAUAGGACUUCUGCCCGCCUGGGAGGUGGCGGAAAGAUUUUGCGGUGUGGGAUGGGCCCGCGGCCUAUCAGCUUGUUGGUGGGGUGAUGGCCUACCAAGGCGACGACGGGUAACCGGCCUGCAGAGGGUGACCGGCCACACUGGGACUGAGAUACGGCCCAGACUCCUACGGGAGGCAGCAGUGGGGAAUAUUGCACAAUGGGCGCAAGCCUGAUGCAGCGACGCCGCGUGAGGGAUGACGGCCUUCGGGUUGUAAACCUCUUUCAGCACCGACGAAGCGCAAGUGACGGUAGGUGCAGAAGAAGGACCGGCCAACUACGUGCCAGCCGCCGCGGUAA